rnacentral:rRNA from 1 species
UGUAGGCGUGCCCCUUAGGCAAAUCCGGGGGGCUUAGCUGAGGCGUGACGACGAGGCACUACGGUGCUGAAGUGAUUGAUACCAAGCUUCCAGGAAAAGCCACUAAGCUUCAGUCUAGAAUUGACCGUACCUCAAACCGACACAGGUGGGCAGGAUGAAAAUUCUAAGGCGCUUGAGAGAACUCAGGAGAAGGAACUCGGCAAAUUAACACCGUAACUUCGGGAGAAGGUGUGCCCCGGUAGGUUGUAGAGCCUCGCGCUCGAAGGCCGAUGGGGUUGCAGUGAAAUGGUGGCUGCGACUGUUUAAUAAAAACACAGCACUCUGCAAACACGAAAGUGGACGUAUAGGGUGUGACGCCUGCCCGGUGCCGGAAGGUUAAUUGAUGGGGUGCAAGCUCUUGAUCGAAGCCCCGGUAAACGGCGGCCGUAACAAUAACGGUCCUAAGGUAGCGAAAUUCCUUGUCGGGUAAGUUCCGACCUGCACGAAUGGCGUAACGAUGGCCACACUGUCUCCUCCUGAGACUCAGCGAAGUUGAAAUGUUUGUGAAGAUGCAAUCUCCCCGCGGCAAGACGGGAAGACCCCAUGAACCUUUACUGUAGCUUUGCAUUGGACUUUGAAUCGGUCUGUGUAGGAUAGGUGGGAGGCUGUGAAACCGGGACGCUAGUUUCGGUGGAGCCAACCUUGAAAUACCACCCUGAUUUAUUUGAGGUUCUAACCUUGAUCCGUGAAUCCGGAUCGGGAACCGUGCAUGGUGGGCAGUUUGACUGGGGCGGUCUCCUCCCAAAAGGUAACGGAGGAGUACGAAGGUACGCUUAGGGCGGUCGGACAUCCCCCAUAAAGUGCAAUGGCAAAAGCGUGCUUGACUGCGAGACCCACAAGUCGAGCAGGUGCGAAAGCAGGUCAUAGUGAUCCGGUGGUUCUGUAUGGAAGGGCCAUCGCUCAACGGAUAAAAGGUACUCUGGGGAUAACAGACUGAUACCGCCCAAGAGUUCAUAUCGACGGCGGUGUUUGGCACCUCGAUGUCGGCUCAUCUCAUCCUGGGGCUGUAGCCGGUCCCAAGGGUAUGGCUGUUCGCCAUUUAAAGAGGUACGUGAGCUGGGUUUAAAACGUCGUGAGACAGUUUGGUCCCUAUCUGCCGUGGGCGCUGGAAAUUUGAAGGGGGCUGCUCCUAGUACGAGAGGACCGGAGUGGACGAACCUCUGGUGUACCGGUUAUGACGCCAGUCGUAUCGCCGGGUAGCUGUGUUCGGAAGAGAUAAACGCUGAAAGCAUCUAAGCGUGAAACUCGCCUUAAGAUAAGGUUUCCCGGAGCCUUGAGCUCCCUGAAGGGUCGUCGAAGACCACGACGUUGAUA